UACAGAGGUCUCAAGCGUUGUUCGGAUUCAUUGGGCGUAAAGGGCGCGUAGGCGGCGGGGUAAGUCUGGUGUGAAAUCUCGGAGCUCAACUCCGAAAUUGCACUGGAUACUGCUCUGCUUGAGGGUUGGAGAGGAGAUCGGAAUUCACGGUGUAGCGGUGAAAUGCGCAGAUAUCGGGAGGAACACCGGUGGCGAAGGCGGUUCUCUGGGCCUGACCUGACGCUGAGGAGCGAAAGCGUGGGGAGCAAACAGG
rnacentral:rRNA from 1 species